UUAAGCGGAGGAAAAGAAACUAACCAGGAUUCCCCUAGUAAGGGCGACUGAAGCGGGAGAAGCUCAACAUGUGAAUCUGUGCCUGUAUUGGUACCGAAUUGUGGUCUGUUCGCGCUAUAUGGCUCGGGCCAAGUCCCUUGGAAAAGGGCAGCUGAGAGGGUGAGACUCCCGUCCGCCUGAGCCUCUGAGCGAGCAUGUUGGAGUCGAGUUGUUUGGGAUUGCAGCUCAAAGCGGGUGGUAAAUUCCAUCGAAGGCUAAAUAUUGGUGGGAGACCGAUAGCGUACAAGUACCGUGAGGGAAAGAUGCAAAGAACUUUGAAAAGAGAGUUAAAGAGUACCUGAAAUUGCUGAAAGGGAAGCGAAGGAAACCAGUGUUGCUGCGUAGUCAUAUUUCUCUAUCCGCUUGCGGCUAGGGCGCUGUGUCUAUGCUCGGGUCAGGCUUGGUUGGGAGCGGUGCAAAGGUGUAGUAGGGAGUUGACCUUCUACACUUACGCUGGUUCUGACUGAGGUUGGCAAAAUGGUUUUCUUUACCCCGUCUUGAAACACGGGC
rnacentral:rRNA from 1 species